AGUUUGAUCAUGGCUCAGAACGAACGCUGGCGGCAGGCUUAACACAUGCAAGUCGAACGAGCUCUUCGGAGCUAGUGGCAGACGGGUGAGUAACGCGUGGGAAUCUACCCAGUUCUCUGGAAUAACUGAUGGAAACGUCAGCUAAUACCGGAUACGCCCUUUUGGGGAAAGAUUUAUCGGGAUUGGAUGAGCCCGCGUAAGAUUAGCUAGUUGGUGGGGUAACGGCCUACCAAGGCGACGAUCUUUAGCUGGUCUGAGAGGAUGAUCAGCCACACUGGGACUGAGACACGGCCCAGACUCCUACGGGAGGCAGCAGUGGGGAAUAUUGGACAAUGGGGGCAACCCUGAUCCAGCCAUGCCGCGUGAGUGAUGAAGGCCUUAGGGUUGUAAAGCUCUUUCACCGGUGAAGAUAAUGACGGUAACCGGAGAAGAAGCCCCGGCUAACUUCGUGCCAGCAGCCGCGGUAAUACGAAGGGGGCUAGCGUUGUUCGGAAUUACUGGGCGUAAAGCGCACGUAGGCGGAUAUUUAAGUCAGGGGUGAAAUCCCGGAGCUCAACUCCGGAACUGCCUUUGAUACUGGAUAUCUAGAGACCGAGAGAGGUAAGUGGAACUCCUAGUGUAGAGGUGGAAUUCGUAGAUAUUAGGAAGAACACCAGUGGCGAAGGCGNCUUACUGGCUCGGAACUGACGCUGAGGUGCGAAAG
rnacentral:rRNA from 1 species